ACGGGGUGCAGCAGGCGCGAAAACUCCGCAAUACACGAAAGUGUGACGGGGGAACCCCAAGUGCUCUCGCGCAAGCGAGUGCUUUUGUGAAGUGUAAAUAGCUUCAUGAAUAAGAGCUGGGUAAGACCGGUGCCAGCCGCCGCGGUAACACCGGCAGCUCGAGUGGUGAUCACUAUUAUUGGGCCUAAAGCGUCCGUAGCCGGUUUGAUAAGUCCUUGGGCAAAUCCUGCCGCUUAACGGUAGGAAUUCUGAGGAUACUGUCAGACUUGAGGCCGAGAGAGGUCGGAGGUACUUCUGGGGUAGCGGUGAAAUGCUAUAAUCCUAGUGGGACCACCAGUGGCGAAAGCGUCCGACUAGAGCGGGCCUGACGGUAAGGGACGAAAGCCAGGGGAGCGAACGGGAUUAGAUACCCCGGUAGUCCUGGCCGUAAACGCUGUGGGCUAGGUGUUGCAUGCUCUACGAGGGCGUGCAGUGCCGAAGAGAAGUUGAUAAGCCUACCGCCUGGAGUACUAUCGCAAGAU
rnacentral:rRNA from 1 species